AGAGUUGAUCAGUGGCUACGAGGACGAACGCUGGCGGCAUGCCUAACACAUGCAAGUCGAACGAGAGUAGCAAUACUCGAGUGGCGAACGGGUGAGUAACACGUGAGCAACCUGCCUUACACAACGGGAUACCUACUGGAAACAGUAGUUAAUACGGUAUAAGACCACAGUACCGCAUGAUACAGUGGUAAAAGAUUUAUCGGUGUAAGAUGGGCUCGCGGCGCAUUAGCUAGUUGGUGAGGUAACGGCUCACCAAGGCGACGAUGCGUAGCCGACCUGAGAGGGUGAUCGGCCACAUUGGGACUGAGAUACGGCCCAGACUCCUACGGGAGGCAGCAGUGGGGAAUAUUGGGCAAUGGAGGAAACUCUUACCCAGACCAAUGCCGCGUGAAUGAUGAAGGUCGUAAGAUUGUAAAGUUCUUUAGUCAGGGACAAAGAAAGUGAUGGUACCUGAAGAAUAAGCUCCGGCUAACUACGUGCCAGCAGCGGC
rnacentral:rRNA from 1 species